GGAUACGUUCGUUGGGUAGGGGAGCGUUCUGUAAGCCUGUGAAGGUGGCCUGUGAGGGUUGCUGGAGGUAUCAGAAGUGCGAAUGCUGACAUAAGUAACGAUAAAGCGGGUGAAAAGCCCGCUCGCCGGAAGACCAAGGGUUCCUGUCCAACGUUAAUCGGGGCAGGGUGAGUCGACCCCUAAGGCGAGGCCGAAAGGCGUAGUCGAUGGGAAACGGGUUAAUAUUCCCGUACUUGGUGUUACUGCGAAGGGGGGACGGAGAAGGCUAUGUUGGCCGGGCGACGGUUGUCCCGGUUUAAGCGUGUAGGCUGGUUUUCCAGGCAAAUCCGGAAAAUCAAGGCUGAGGCGUGAUGACGAGGCACUACGGUGCUGAAGCAACAAAUGCCCUGCUUCCAGGAAAAGCCUCUAAGCAUCAGGUAACAUCAAAUCGUACCCCAAACCGACACAGGUGGUCAGGUAGAGAAUACCAAGGCGCUUGAGAGAACUCGGGUGAAGGAACUAGGCAAAAUGGUGCCGUAACUUCGGGAGAAGGCACGCUGACACGUAGGUGAAGUGAUUUACUCAUGGAGCUGAAGUCAGUCGAAGAUACCAGCUGGCUGCAACUGUUUAUUAAAAACACAGCACUGUGCAAACACGAAAGUGGACGUAUACGGUGUGACGCCUGCCCGGUGCCGGAAGGUUAAUUGAUGGGGUCAGCGCAAGCGAAGCUCCUGAUCGAAGCCCCGGUAAACGGCGGCCGUAACUAUAACGGUCCUAAGGUAGCGAAAUUCCUUGUCGGGUAAGUUCCGACCUGCACGAAUGGCGUAAUGAUGGCCAGGCUGUCUCCACCCGAGACUCAGUGAAAUUGAACUCGCUGUGAAGAUGCAGUGUACCCGCGGCAAGACGGAAAGACCCCGUGAACCUUUACUAUAGCUUGACACUGAACAUUGAGCCUUGAUGUGUAGGAUAGGUGGGAGGCUUUGAAGUGUGGACGCCAGUCUGCAUGGAGCCGACCUUGAAAUACCACCCUUUAAUGUUUGAUGUUCUAACGUGGACCCGUAAUCCGGGUUGCGGACAGUGUCUGGUGGGUAGUUUGACUGGGGCGGUCUCCUCCUAAAGAGUAACGGAGGAGCACGAAGGUUGGCUAAUCCUGGUCGGACAUCAGGAGGUUAGUGCAAUGGCAUAAGCCAGCUUGACUGCGAGCGUGACGGCGCGAGCAGGUGCGAAAGCAGGUCAUAGUGAUCCGGUGGUUCUGAAUGGAAGGGCCAUCGCUCAACGGAUAAAAGGUACUCCGGGGAUAACAGGCUGAUACCGCCCAAGAGUUCAUAUCGACGGCGGUGUUUGGCACCUCGAUGUCGGCUCAUCACAUCCUGGGGCUGAAGUAGGUCCCAAGGGUAUGGCUGUUCGCCAUUUAAAGUGGUACGCGAGCUGGGUUUAGAACGUCGUGAGACAGUUCGGUCCCUAUCUGCCGUGGGCGCUGGAGAACUGAGGGGGGCUGCUCCUAGUACGAGAGGACCGGAGUGGACGCAUCACUGGUGUUCGGGUUGUCAUGCCAAUGGCACUGCCCGGUAGCUAAAUGCGGAAGAGAUAAGUGCUGAAAGCAUCUAAGCACGAAACUUGCCCCGAGAUGAGUUCUCCCUGAGACUUUAGGUCUCCUGAAGGAACGUUGAAGACGACGACGUUGAUAGGCCGGGUGUGUAAGCGCAGCGAUGCGUUGAGCUAACCGGUACUAAUGAACCGUGAGGCUUAACCUUACAACGCC
rnacentral:rRNA from 1 species